rnacentral:tRNA from 1 species
CGGGCGAGUGGCGGAAUUGGCAGACGCGCAGGCUUCAGGUGCCUGUGUCCGCAAGGACGUGGGGGUUCAAGUCCCCCUCGCCCAC